rnacentral:rRNA from 1 species
GACGAAGGAUGCAAGCGUUAUCCGGAUUCAUUGGGUUUAAAGGGUGCGUAGGUGGGCAGGUAAGUCAGUGGUGAAAUCUCCGGGCUUAACUCGGAAACUGCCAUUGAUACUAUCUGUCUUGAAUACCGUGGAGGUCAGCGGAAUAUGUCAUGUAGCGGUGAAAUGCUUAGAUAUGACAUAGAACACCAAUUGCGAAGGCAGCUGGCUACACGAAUAUUGACACUGAUGCACGAAAGCGUGGGGAUCAAACAGG